CUUCGGUUUCUCUUCUCUUAAUAGCUUCCAUGUCUCCUGAGUGGAGAAUUUUCUUUUAAACCCUGAGUUUCUCUUCCAAAGAUGUGUGUCCUCAUCCUAUGACCUCUAUUUUUGUCUACAUGAAUCAAUUUGUCCCUCCACUUCUCGUAGGAUACCAGAACGAUAGCGGGUUCAUCUUCGAUUACUUCAUCAACAGUGGCAUUUCUUCUUAUUCCCAAAUCAAUGAUCCCACGAUCCCCUA
rnacentral:lncRNA from 1 species